UCCCCGUUCACCGGGGCAGUCCCCUCAGAGUGCUCGGCAUAACCCGCUAGCAACAGAGGGCGAGGGUUGCGCUCGUUGCGGGACUUAACCCAACAUGUCACCACACGAGCUGACGACAGCCAUGCAGCACCUGUCUCUCUGUCGUAUUGCUACGAAAGACGCAUCUCUGCGUUUGUCAGAGGAUGUCAAAUCCAGGUAAGGUUCUUCGCGUUGCUUCGAAUUAAACCACAUGAUCCACCGCUUGUGCGGGCCCCCGUCAAUUCCUUUGAGUUUUAGUCUUGCGACCGUACUUCCCAGGCGGGGUACUUAUUGCGUUAGCGCCGGUUCGGCGGGGGUCAAGACCCACCAAACCUAGUACCCAUCGUUUACAGCGUGGACUAC
rnacentral:misc_RNA from 1 species